rnacentral:SRP_RNA from 1 species
AAUAAUAGACGGAGCAACACUUGUGCGUGAAGUGGGUCAGGGGAGGAAUCCAGCAGCCCUAAGCGAUUUUCGGGUGUGUGCUCUUUUUUUGUACAUUUA